GGAAAUUUUUCUUGUUGAUGAAGAUUCUAACAAAAUCCAAGCAACUGUUAAGAAGCAUCUCAUAAAUAGGUUUAAAGAGAAUAUUAUUGAGGGUCAAACAUACCGAAUUGUCAUAUUUUAGUGUUGUUCCAAACCAAGACAAUUAUAGGGUAGCAGAACAUGAGUUUAAGUUGGUUUUCCUUAACCGUACAACUGUUAUUCCUGUCCCUGAUGAUGCUAUCCCCAAGACAUGUUUCAGUUUCUAUCCAUUUGAUGAGCUGUUGAAAAUGACUACAGAUUAUGUUUACUUAGUUGAUGUUAUUGGUUUGCUAACUUCUGUUGGUGAAGAGAAAGAGUAUGUGAAAGAUGGCAAAGUGAUGAAGAUGAU